CUUACCAGGUCCAGACACAGUUAGGAUUGACAGAUUGAAAGCUCUUUCUUGAUUCUGUGGGUGGUGGUGCAUGGCCGUUCUUAGUUGGUGGAGUGAUUUGUCUGGUUAAUUCCGAUAACGAACGAGACCUCAGCCUAUUAAUUAAAUAAAAAAAUAUAAGCAAUUAUAAGGGUUUAAUAUAAAAUUAAUAAAUUUCAUUUUUGGAAUUUAUUUUUUAUAUUAAAAACUUGUUUAUAUUUAUUUUUUAUUUUCUUAAAGGGACACUUGGUGUUUAACCAAGGGAAGUUUGAGGCAAUAACAGGUCUGUGAUGCCCUUUAGAUGUUCUGGGCCGCACGCGCGCUACACUGAUAAAAUCAAUAAGUUUUUUAAUUUAAUUCCUUGACUGAAAAGUUUGGGUAAACUUUGAAAAUUUUAUCGUGCUGGGGAUUGACAAUUGUAAUUAUUUGUCAUGAACGAGGAAUUCCUAGUAAACGUAAGUCAUCAGCUUACGUUGAUUACGUCCCUGCCCUUUGUACACACCGCCCGUC
rnacentral:rRNA from 1 species